rnacentral:rRNA from 1 species
CCUACGGGUGGCAGCAGUGGGGACUAUUGGGCAAUGGGCGCAAGCCUGACCCAGCAACGCCGCGUGAAGGAAGAAGGCUUUCGGGUUGUAAACUUCUUUUCUGAGGGACGAAGAAAGUGACGGUACCUCAGGAAUAAGCCACGGCUAACUACGUGCCAGCAGCCGCGGUAUUACGCAGGUUGCAAGCGUUAUCCGGAUUUAUUGGGUGUAAAGGGCGUGUAGGAGGGAACGCAAGUCAGAUGUGAAAACUCAGGGCUCAACCCUGAGCCUGCAUUUGAAACUGGUUGUCUUGAGUGCUGGAGAGGCAAUCGGAAUUCCGUGUGUAGCGGUGAAAUGCGUAGAUAUACGGAGGAACACCAGUGGCGAAGGCAGAUUGCUGGACAGUAACUGACGCUGAGGCGCGAAAGCGUGGGGAGCGAACAGGAUUAGAUACCCCUGUAGUC